rnacentral:rRNA from 1 species
CAAUCAAUGGGAGGGGAACCCCGGGAACUGGGGAUAAUACCCCAUAGACUAUAGAUGCUGGAAUGCUUUGUAGUUGAAAGGUCCGCCGCCAUAGGAUGGGUCUGCGGCCGAUUAGGUUGUUGUUGGGGUAACGGCCCAACAAGCCUGUAAUCGGUACGGGUUGUGGGAGCAAGAGCCCGGAGAUGGAUUCUGAGACACGAAUCCAGGCCCUACGGGGCGCAGCAGGCGCGAAAACUUUACAAUGCGGGAAACCGUGAUAAGGGAACUCCGAGUGCCCGUAAAAUCGGGCUGUCCAUCUGUUUAAAUAACAGGUGAAGAAAGGGCCGGGCAAGACCGGUGCCAGCCGCCGCGGUAAUACCGGCGGCUCGAGUGGUGGCCACUAUUACUGGGCUUAAAGCGUUCGUAGCUGGUCUGUUAAGUCUCUGGGGAAAUCUACUGGCUUAACCAAUAGGCGUCUCAGGGAUACUGGCAGACUAGGGACCGGGAGAGGUGAGAGGUACUCCAGGGGUAGGAGUGAAAUCCUGUAAUCCUUGGGGGACCACCUGUGGCGAAGGCGUCUCACCAGAACGGCUCCGACAGUGAGGGACGAAAGCUGGGGGAGCAAACCGGAUUAGAUACCCGGGUAGUCCCAGCCGUAAACGAUGCGCGUUAGGUGUAUCGGUGACCACGAGUCACCGAGGUGCCGAAGAGAAAUCGUGAAACGUGCCGCCUGGGAAGUACGGUCGCAAGGCUGAAACUUAAAGGAAUUGGCGGGGGAGCAC